rnacentral:rRNA from 1 species
AUUGAACGCUGGCGGCAUGCCUUACACAUGCAAGUCGAACGGUAACAGGUCUUCGGAUGCUGACGAGUGGCGAACGGGUGAGUAAUACAUCGGAACGUGCCUAGUAGUGGGGGAUAACUACUCGAAAGAGUGGCUAAUACCGCAUGAGAUCUACGGAUGAAAGCAGGGGAUCGCAAGACCUUGUGCUACUAGAGCGGCCGAUGGCAGAUGAGGUAGUUGGUGGGAUAAAAGCUUACCAAGCCGACGAUCCGUAGCUGGUCUGAGAGGACGAUCAGCCACACUGGGACUGAGACACGGCCCAGACUCCGACGUGAGGCAGCAGUGGGGAAUUUUGGACAAUGGGCGAAAGCCUGAUCCAGCAAUGCCGCGUGCAGGAUGAAGGCCUUCGGGUUGUAAACUGCUUUUGUACGGAACGAAAAGCCCCGGGUUAAUACCCUGGGGUCAUGACGGUACCGUAAGAAUAAGCACCGGCUAACUACGUGCCAGCAGCCGCGGUAA